rnacentral:rRNA from 1 species
CUGGAAUCGCUAGUAAUCGCGGAUCAGAAUGCCGCGGAGAAUACGUUCCCGGGUCUUGUACACACCGCCCGUCACACCAUGGGAGUCGGAAAUGCCCGAAGUCUGUGACCCAACCUGAGAGGGAGGGAGCAGCCGAAGGCAGGUCUGAUGACUGGGGUGAAGUCGUAACAAGGUAAC